UACGUAGGGGGCAAGCGUUGUCCGGAAUCAUUGGGCGUAAAGAGCGCGUAGGCGGUCCGGUAAGUCGGUUGUGAAAACUGGGGGCUCAACCCUCAGAGGCCGACCGAUACUGUCGGGCUAGAGUCCGGAAGAGGCGAGUGGAAUUCCUGGUGUAGCGGUGAAAUGCGCAGAUAUCAGGAGGAACACCAAUGGCGAAGGCAGCUCGCUGGGACGGUACUGACGCUGAGGAGCGAAAGCGUGGGUAGCAAACAGG
rnacentral:rRNA from 1 species